UCUGGUGGCGAUGGCGAAGAGGUCACACCCGUUCCCAUUCCGAACACGGAAGUUAAGCUCUUCAGCGCCGAUGGUAGUUGGGACUCACGUCCCUGUGAGAGUAGGACGUCGCCAGGC
rfam:Bacillus sp. FJAT-27916 Scaffold1, whole genome shotgun sequence.